UACGUAGGGUGCAAGCGUUAAUCGGAAUUACUGGGCGUAAAGCGUGCGCAGGCGGUUUUGUAAGUCUGUCGUGAAAGCCCCGGGCUCAACCUGGGAAUUGCGAUGGAGACUGCAAGGCUAGAAUCUGGCAGAGGGGGGUAGAAUUCCACGUGUAGCAGUGAAAUGCGUAGAGAUGUGGAGGAACACCGAUGGCGAAGGCAGCCCCCUGGGUCAAGACUGACGCUCAUGCACGAA
rnacentral:rRNA from 1 species